UCCCCCUUAUGACACACCUCAAAGUCAAGCGCAAGGAGCCAGAGCCAGAGCUCUGGACUCACUGGGGCCAGGAGAGAACCCAGUGGGCAUGCAAUUCUGGAUCCUGAAUGGUCAGGAGGAUGCCCGUUUCCACGCUGUCCGGGUCUGGAUCUGAUUGCCCAAAUCCCAGGCUCUACUCUAGAAACCGUCCUUCAGAUGAAAAGGCCCGAAGCAACAGAACACUGAGAUCAGUCACCGAAUGCUUGUGGACGGCAGCUACGCCAGGCCCUACACAGUUUUGAUCGCUGUAGCUUUGUGGGCACAGCAGAGAAUGACACUGAGGUGCGAACUCGAAGCCCCUUCCGAACAAGCUCUCGCUGAGGCGUGAUUGUUAAUAAGAUGCUAGAGAAGAACACAGAGGUUUUGAAAGCCAGAGGUCACCAGCACGGUACAAGCAGAAAUCAAUGACCUGCUGAAUGAGAAAUUCGAGUGUAUUGUUGCUGUAUCUGUCGGAAUGCCUGAGGACCACGACAGAUUGUAAACUAAAAGAAAAGUAAUAGAGUUUAAGAACGGAGUAAUUACAAAUGAACCUGCA